rnacentral:rRNA from 1 species
GACGUAGGGCGCGAGCGUUGUCCGGAUUUAUUGGGCGUAAAGAGCUCGUAGGCGGCUUGUCGCGUCGUCCGUGAAAACCUGCGGCUCAACUGCAGGCUGGCGGUCGAUACGGGCAGGCUGGAGUUCGGUAGGGGAGACUGGAAUUCCUGGUGUAGCGGCGAAAUGCGCAGAUAUCAGGAGGAACACCGGUGGCGAAGGCGGGUCUCUGGGCCGAUACUGACGCUGAGGAGCGAAAGCGUGGGGAGCGAACAGG